GUCAUGCUCUCAUAGUUUGUGAGUUCGAGCCCCGCGUUGGGCUCUGUGCUAGGAGCCUGGAGCCUCCUUCAGAUUCUGUGUCUCCUCCUCUCUCUGCCCCUCCCAUGCUCAUGCUCUGUCUCUCUCUUUCUCUCAAUAAUAAAACAAAUGUCAAACAAAAUUUUUUUUAAAGAAAAAUUAGAGUCUGUCAUUGUCUCAAAGGAAACCCUGCCACUUCCAGCCACCACCCAAGGUCCUACUCUCCUCUCCGAGAUUGGGGCAUAUCAGAAAUAAAUUUGCCGGCUCCCUGUCUCUUUUAUUUUCAUCCCAGAAUAGAAGGACUCAGAAAACAUUUCACAUUUUCACAUUUUCAUUUAAAUGAUACAACCAAAGUCCUAUUUUCUGAAAGGGAGACCAGAAAGUGUUAGGAAAACUUUCCUCAGUGAGACAUAAUCAGCCACCCACCUGUCAGAUCAUUUCCUGCUCUGAAACAGAAGUGCCGUGGAGCACAGAACAUCCAGCUGAGAGCCAGAGCCUCUUCUCACCCUGCAGGGAACGGCUGUCAGCAUGCUGCUGGCCCGUGUGCUGUGGGCAGUCGUGGUGUCCACCUGUCUUGGAUCCAGCAUGGCCCAGAAGGUCACCCAGACUCAACCAGAAAUGUCUGUGCACGAGGCAGAGACCGUGACCCUGGACUGCACGUUUGACACUCGUAAGGCAGACAAAUCCUUCAGUCUCAGGAUCUCAGCCGCCCAGCUGGGGGAUGCUGCGAUGUAUUUGUGUGCUCUCAUGGAGGGCACAGUGACAGGAGCAACAGAGAGAGGUUUACAGAAACCUCAGACCUCAGCAUCUGUGCAGAGGUCGGGGUGGGAGGAGUGA